AAUGAUACGGUAAAGUUAACGGAUCGUUUUAUUUGUGGCAACACAUUAUAAGACUAAAAGUUAUUUAAAUCUCAUUGUUUAGAGGAAGGAGAAGUCGUAACAAGGUAUCCGUAGUGAACCUGCGGAUGGAUCAUUUU
rnacentral:rRNA from 1 species